UACGGAGGGUGCAAGCGUUGUCCGGAUUUAUUGGGUUUAAAGGGUGCGUAGGUGGCCUUGUAAGUCCGUGGUGAAAGCCUCUCGCUUAACGAGAGAACUGCCAUGGAUACUGCAAGGCUUGAGUCCAGACGAGGUUGGCGGAAUGGAUGGUGUAGCGGUGAAAAUGCAUAGAUACCAUCCAGAACCCCCGAUUGCGUAGGCAGCUGACUAGGCUGGUACUGACACUGAGGCACGAAAAGCGUGGGGAGCGAACAGG
rnacentral:rRNA from 1 species